rnacentral:lncRNA from 1 species
CAUAUAUAUACAUAUACAUAUAUAUAUUUUUUCCUGUUAAGAAUUGACUUGUGGACUAUGGAAACUAAAUGGACCCAAAAUCAGCAAUCUGGUGAUCCAGGGAAGCUGAUGAUUUGGUUCCAGUUCAAGUCCAGAGCCUUGAGAACCAGACCAUGCAUUUCAAUGGAAAUAUGGAGAAAAAAGUGCAUCCUGUGGUUCAGUGAUACUUAUGUAAUUACUGGAGGAACAGAUGGCCAAUCCAUAGUACACAGAUUCCACAAAAAUUUAGAAGCAAUGUGUCCAUACACACAGCUGAUGACAAGUCCCUAUGGAGGUUUGGCUAAGAGCACCAGUGAUGAUUCACCAAGACAAUUCACAGAAGGUAACUGUAUAUGAGUUUAUACAGUCACACACCACACACUGACAUUUUGCUCAAUGAUGUGACAGUGACCCAUAGAUUACAUCACCUACUUACAUCUUAAAGUUGACUCUCUGUUGUCUACACAGUGAAGAAAUCACCUACUGAUGCAUUCUCUCAGAAAAUAUCUCCAUCAUUGAAUGACACAUG